UCACCUGUAAAAAAAAGGGGGGGGUAGCACCAGCAAACAAGGGAAAAGUUCAGUGUAACCAUGUCCUGAAGCAGGCGACAAUCACCACUAACAUGGGUCUCAUUUAAUAAAGUGCUUUAAGGUGACAGGCUGAAAUCAGAGGAAGGACUGACUGCGCGGAGAGCUGCAGCUUUCUGGCAGUUAAGGUGGCCGCAGCCAGAAGACCGGCCUGGAUAGACAGGAUUUCUGAAGGAGGUGAGGCGCUGUGCAGCUCAGCUACCCAGUGUCCAGGGCGACUCCUCUCCACUCGGCGGGGAGCACGCGGGCUCAGGGGCCACUAGACCAUGCUUGCUGUCUGGGCUCCAAUUCGCUUCUACUUAUGGUGACCGCGUCAUCACCCUCCGAGUCUCCCGGCCUUCUACAGGAAGAUGACCUAGGGCUAGUGAAAUGGGUCAGCAGGUAAAGACACUUGUUGCCAAGCCUGAUGACCCGGGACCCGCACGGUGGAAGGCGAGAAAUGACUCCCACGAGCUACAAUGUACCCCUCAAUACGCGCGCCUACACACGCACGCACACAAUAAAUGUAAAACAAUAACGAAUUAAAAAAAAAAGUGGUUCAGGCGGCGUUUCU